rnacentral:rRNA from 1 species
GGCUCAGGAUGAACGCUAGCGGCAGGCCUAAUACAUGCAAGCCGAACGGCAAGAUUGAUAGCAAUAUUGAUCCUAGAGUGGCGUAAGGGUGCGUAACACGUAUGCAAUCUGCCCACAACAGGAGGAUAGCUCCCCGAAAGGGGAAUUAACCCUCCAUAAGACCACACGAGGGCAUCUGAGAGUGGUUAAACCAAAAGGGGUUGUGGAUGAGCAUGCGGUUGAUUAGCUAGUUGGCGGGGUAACGGCCCACCAAGGCGAUGAUCAAUAGGGGUUCUGAGAGGAAGGUCCCCCACACUGGCACUGAGAUACGGGCCAGACUCCUACGGGAGGCAGCAGUAGGGAAUAUUGGACAAUGGGCGGAAGCCUGAUCCAGCCAUGCCGCGUGCAGGAAGAAGGCCUUCUGGGUCGUAAACUGCUUUUUUCUGGGGAUAAAAGACCCGUGCGCGGGGAAUUGAAGGUACCAGAGGAAUAAGCCACGGCUAACUACGUGCCAGCAGCCGCGGUAAUACGUAGGUGGCAAGCGUUGUCCGGAUUUAUUGGGUUUAAAGGGUGCGUAGGCGGUUCCAUAAGUCAGUGGUGAAAUACGGCAGCUCAACUGUCGAGGUGCCAUUGAUACUGCGGAACUUGAGUACUGAUGAGGUAGGCGGAAUUGACGGUGUAGCGGUGAAAUGCUUAGAUAUCGUCAAGAACACCGAUAGCGAAGGCAGCUUACUAAGGAGUAACUGACGCUGAGGCACGAAAGUGCGGGGAUCAAACAGGAUUAGAUACCCUGGUAGUCCGCACAGUAAACGAUGAUUACUCGAUGUUGGCGAUACACAGCCAGCGUCUUAGCGAAAGCGAUAAGUAAUCCACCUGGGGAGUACGCCCGCAAGGGUGAAACUCAAAG